CAGUUAAAUUUGAAUUUCAGAUAAGAAUUUCUUAGCAUAAGUAUGCCCUAUGCAAUAUUUGGGACACAUUUAUAUCAAAAAAAACUCAAUAUUUAUCUGAAAUUCAAAUGUAACUGUGUGUCCUAGAUUUUAUCUGGCAGCCUUAUUGAUGGUGGCUUAUUGACUGGCUGGGAAUGACAGGGGUGUAGGCCAGGAAAUGGCUCUGUGAAGGCUGCCUAGAACUGAAUCGAACAUGAGGAUGAGUCAGUGUCAAGACUCCCAGUGGGGCCAUCGGAUCAUUACUGCAUGAUCGUCUUAAGCCUUUGUUAGUGAAUCCCUCAGACUCACGCCUUCUUCUCUCCAGGCCUGAACACCCUGUCCUACCUGGUCCUACCUGGAUGCUGGCCUCAGUAAGCUCCUGGGCUCAUUGAAGAUGAACCUAGCAGUAGUAUUUACACCACUUGUUGUGUGCCCACUGUGGGCCCGGCGCCAUGCCGAGUGCUCUAUGGAUGUGAGAUGAGAACACUGAAGCAGUUUUUUCUAAAGAUAGCUGCCUGGCACAGUGGCUCACAUCUGUAGUCCCAGCAUUUGGGGAGGCCAAGGCAGGUGGAUCACUUGAGGCCAGGAAUUCAAGACCAGCAUGGCCAACAUGUGCUGGGAGAGAAAAGCAUACGACAUAGACAGGGAGGUCAAGCUCCACCACGCAGAUGAGGUGCAGGCCACCAGUCUUCCUCUGCCACAUCUCUUUCUGAAAAGCCACAGGGUGCCUCAGGCUUGGAGCAUCCCGGAGCCAGUUACAACCCAAGACUUCAGCCUUCUGGAAGGUGUUGGGUCAGCCACCCUGAAGGACGAUCCUGCCCAAGUGACAUGCUUUGCUCUUCCUUCUCACCCAGGACUUCACAUUCACCCUUGCAAUCCAUGUGGGGACACUGUUGGAUAGGAGGCGUGGUCCCAGCGUGGUCUCCCUGUCUGGGCCUCUGCCUAUGCCAAAUGUUUGCCUUACGCUGCACACUCAAGAGGUUCCAUGUAUACAGAUGGGAAUUCCAGAGCUACAGAAAAGGCAGCAAGCACCAUGAUUUAAGCUAACCAGUGUGGAUUCACACCUUCCUCUCUCUCUAUCAGUGGCAGAACUACCAGCUAGAGUAAGAAGUGGUUGAUCCAGGACCUAAACAUUCUGGAAACUCUUGCCCACUUCUGGGAGAAAUGACCCAAUCCAUAGUACUAAGCACACCUUAACUUUCGUAGGACGCAGGCAAGUUGUCAUACCGUGUGCCUAAAUAUAGAAAAAUGAUCCACUGGACUAAUAAAGUGUUAAAUAAAA
rnacentral:lncRNA from 1 species